rnacentral:ncRNA from 1 species
UAAGGGGUGCCGGACUGUCGAUGGUUGAUAGUUGAUGGUUGAUAGUUGAUAGUUGACGGUUUGGCUGAGAUUAUACCCUCUGACCUGAACAGGGUAAUGCCUGCGUAGGAAUAAGACC